GGACCACUCCUGCGGGAGUUAAGGCCAUACGGACAGCCGGGUCCACUGCCGA
rnacentral:sRNA from 16 species